UGUUGUCCCUUGAGGCAACCCAAGAGGGGGGGUGAAUUGGGUUUAUAAAAAAUUUAAUGGCAAAGACAAGAAAUUAGAAGAGAAUAGGGAAGAGAAAAAUCAACACAAUGAUUUAUAGAGGUUCAGCUAUCCAAGCCUACGUCCUCUCCUCAAGGUCCACUUGAGAGUUCAACUCCACUAUCAAAUCUUCUUUGGGUGAAGAUCAAAACCCUUACAAUCUUAGAGCAAACCUUUGCUCUUUACAAAUCUCCUUUUUCACUCAAGAGCAAUUCUUUGCUCAAUGCCACACUCACAACAACAGAAUCUCUCAACAACCUUUACUCACUCUGAAAAGCCAAUCAAUUACAACACAAAUCAAGCUUUCAAGAAAUCAAUGCUUUGGCUCAAGGUUUUGAGAGAGAGAGAGAAUGAAAAAGCUGUAAUCUCAAUAAAUAUUUGCUUAGAUGGUUGUUGUAACC
rnacentral:lncRNA from 1 species